UACGUAGGGUGCAAGCGUUGUCCGGAAUCAUUGGGCGUAAAGAGCGUGUAGGCGGCCUGGCAAGUCCGCUGUGAAAGUCCAGGGCUCAACCCUGGGAUGCCGGUGGAUACUGUCGGGCUCGAGUCCGGAAGAGGAGUGUGGAAUUCCUGGUGUAGCGGUGAAAUGCGCAGAUAUCAGGAGGAACACCAAUGGCGAAGGCAGCACUCUGGGACGUGACUGACGCUGAGACGCGAAAGCGUGGGGAGCAAACAGG
rnacentral:rRNA from 1 species